UAUUUCUGUAUUUAUUUUUAAAUAUGGAAGACUUGGUCCUUCAUACGAGGACAGCUGCGCCCACGAAAGCGUCUCUGCGCUUGGACUGAUUUUCUCCUCGCGCGAGGGAUAAUGUGUUUUGACAGGUUGGGCGGAGACAAACCUCUUCUGUAAGCCUCCUCCUGAUCUGGCCUUGCAAACACAAUCACACGGGAAGUAGUGUCAGGAACCCUUUGACUGACAGCUCGUCAUCCAUCAUGAAGACGACGGCUGAAAGCUGGACGGUGGCGGAGGCUUCUCCAACGUUUGCAGUACGUGGGAGAUGUCUUCUCCUCGCCCUUAAAGAAGAUGGUUUAUAGAGUCAUUUGUCCCAACCGCGAUCUCCACACAGCAGCCUCAUCCGUGACGGAGCAGACGGAGAAGGUUUUAUCAUUCUCUCCCUUUUAUCU